UCUUCCUCCUCCGAUUCAGAAGCAAAUCUAUGCGGGUCUGGAUGACGCCCGAACGUGAAGAGCUAGCUAGCUAGCGACGAAGGGCACGCACGCAUGCACGACCGGCGCAGCUUGGCACCUAAGUUGCGCGGCGCGCGAGCCCGACGAGCAAGAAAAAGGCAACGGCCGGCGUGUUUCAGGCUUCCGGCGUAUUUUAGCUUUUCAUUUCGUUCUGCUGGAAGAUAUCUGUUGGACGAUGCAGAUUGGAAUUCGCUCUCCUUACUUUUCUUGUUCUUGUCAGUGACGGACCAGGGACCGAGGUUUGCCGGGAUAACCGGCGACGAGAAAGCACGGUUGCGCUGCUUCCACUGGCCACUACGCAGGAGAGGUAGCCUGCAUCCUCUCGCCGGAGACCCGGGCCUGCCGCUCAUGCUUACCGGCCCAGUGGUGGAUCCAUCACUGGUUCUUGUUUAUGCCAGGCUUGAGCCAUGCAAGAUCCAGCAAGCGCUACUCAGAUGUUCACCCGAAGCUAGCUAGCCCCCUUGAUGUUGAGUGUUGCCUACAGACAUGGAAAGACAUGUGCUGGAGAGGGUACUGUACUCCUGCAGCUGAUCUGAUCGCCGUCAAGAUCUUGAAGCUCAACGAGGAGACAAGACAAUUUGGAAAAUCUAUCAGGAAUCUGGCGUGAUUCGAGCAUCCACAUGUGUGCGGUAUUUUUGGGUAGAAACUGAGCAAAUUUAUUUUGUGCAAUAUGAUGUCCACCAGCUGACUCCAUC